rnacentral:lncRNA from 1 species
GCAGGCAGGAAUACUGGAGUGGGUUGCCAUUUCUUUCUCCAUGGGGUCUUCCAGACCCAGGGAUUGAACCCAGGUCUCCUGUACUGCAGGCAGAUUCUUUACCAUCUGAGCUACCAUGGAAGACCAGGAAAAGAAGGGGCAUGGUGAAUCAGGUACUGUGAGAAAGCUCUGAAAGACAGCAAGCAGAUGGAUUGGGACUAAAGAUGAAAGGACAGUCUGGGACAGGCGUGACCGGAUUGUGCCAUGAAGAAAUGUUUGUUGAAUUCUAAGCUGUUUUACGUCAUGGUCUAUGGAAUAGAUAUCUGAACACAGGCCAUCCAUUCUUCUGGUGAAGACUAAAAGCUGUUUUUCAUGGAGAAGUGAAGUUUUUCAUGGAGAAUCCUGGCUCAGUCCCUGGGCAGAAGCAGAAUGGAUGAGUCAGAGUGCCCCGACAUGGCGUGACAGUGAUGAGUGUGCUCUCACCACAAACUUGGAAAGAAGGGACUCAGCUUGCCCUCUGAGAAUUAGGCUCAGAAAUCAACAUUGAAAAGUAUUAGCAUUGAAUUACAUGAAAUCUCUUUAAAGAAUCCAGAUGACUCACAGGCCAGAAUUUAUGCUGGCUACAACCAGACUUGACAUUCAGAAAUGCAAUCCAGGAUGUAUUUGUUGAAAAAUAAUUGAUAAAGGAUGAACGUGUCUGAAAGAUCACAGAGACGGCUGGUGCCCAUCUCAGCAGGCCUCAGUUUCUCUUUCUCCAUGUACCCAGCCAUUCCAUCUAAUAUUGAGAAAAUCAAUAUUGGACAAGAAAACCAGUCUUGUUCCCCUGAGUAG